AUGGCGACCAUACUAGAAGCUCUGCUUCGAUCAUGUGCCAGUAAGUUGCAAGAUAUCGUUACCAAUGAAGCCAUACUAAUCUUAGGGGUGGAAGAAGAGCUCGCAAAACUGCUGCAACGAGUUGAACUAAUUCAGUGCUGUAUAUAUGAUGCUGAGAAAAGGAGGGCAAAAGAGUUGGCAGUAAACAAUUGGCUUGGCCAACUGAGAGAUGUUAUAUAUGAUGUUGAUGAAAUUCUGGACGUGGCUAGAUGCAAAGGAAGCAAGCUACUGCCUAACCACCCUUCAUCAUCAUCAAGCAACUCGGCUGCAUGUAAAGGUCAUUCGGUUUUCCCUUGCUUUCGUAACAUUGGUUCACGUCGUGACGUUGCUGUUCGGAUUAGAACCCUCAACAAAAAGGUAGAGAACAUUUCAAAGGACAAAAUAUUCUUAACAUUCAACAGUAGUGCACAACCUAAUGGAAGUGGUCCAACAUCCAAACUGAUAAGAAGUUCCAACCUUGUUGAGCCCAACCUUGUGGGAAAGGAAAUCAUACAUUCUAGCAGGAAGUUGGUGGACUUGGUGCUUGCAAACAAGGAAAAGAAGUCUUACAAGCUUGCUGUUGUUGGAACCGGAGGAGUCGGUAAGACAACACUAGCUCAGAAAGUAUACAAUGACCAAAAAAUAAAAGGAAGCUUCAAGAUGCAUGCUUGGAUUUGUGUUUCGCAAGACUACAGUGAAGUAACUCUUUUGAAGGAGGUGCUCCGAAAUAUUGGUGUGCAUCAUGAGCAAGGUGAAACCAUAACUGAGCUGCAGAGAAAGCUUGCAGAAACAAUAGAAGGAAAGAGUUUCUUUCUGGUUCUAGAUGAUGUAUGGCAUUCCAAUGUAUGGAUGGAUCUAUUAAGGCCUGCAUUACACAAAACAACAUCUGGAGUAAUGUUGGUAACCACACGAGAUGAUCAAAUUACAAGGAGAAUAGGCGUAGAGCAUACCCAUCGAGUUGAUCUCAUGUCAGUAGAGGUGGGAUGGGAGCUACUUUGGAAGAGCAUGAAUAUUGAUGAGAAAGAAGUGCAGAAUUUAAGAAACACGGGGAUUGAGAUUAUCCGUAAAUGCGGUUGCCUCCCUCUUGCAAUCAAAGUUACUGCCAGUGUUCUGGCAAGCAGGGAUCGAACAGAUAAUGAGUGGAAAAAGAUUUUGAGAAGAUAUGCUUGCUCCCAGAACAUGCUCUCUAAUGAAAUAGAAGGAGCUUUGUAUCUAAGCUACGAUGAGUUACCAUAUCGUCUGAAGCAGUGUUUCCUUUAUUGUGCAUUGUAUAUUGAAGAUUCUACCAUUCUGCGCCGUGUAAUUACCAGGUUAUGGAUUGCUGAAGGCUUCAUUGAGGAGCAACAAGGCCAACUUCUAGAAGACACAGCAGAGGAGUACUACUAUGAGCUAAUCCAUCGGAAUCUCCUCCAACCAGAUAACGGAUCUUUUAACCAGGCUGAAUGCAAAAUGCAUGACCUCUUAAGACAGCUUGCUUUGAGUAUAUCAAAAGAAGAGUGUUUUAUUGGUGAUAUUGAAACAUUAAGUGGUGAGAAUAUGUCAAAACUACGACGAGUUACUGCCGUGAGUAAGAAGGAAGAAUUAGUGUUGCCUAGCAUGAAUAAGGUGGAAGCUAAGGUGAGGACUUUCUUUACUGUUCAUGGUCCACGGAGCAUUGAGUAUUCAUUGUUCAAGAGAUUUUUGCUUCUUCGUGUUUUGGUACUGAAUUACUCACUUGUACAAAGCAUUCCAGAUUAUAUAGGAAGACUGAUACAUCUACGCCUACUUGAUCUUGAUUAUACUGGCAUAUCUUGUCUUCCGGAAUCCAUUGGCUCCCUACAAAACCUUCAAAUUUUGAGCUUGAAUUAUUGUGAUGCUUUGCACAAUCUUCCUUCGGCGAUAUCCCAAUUGUACAGUUUAAGAUGCCUUAGUCUUCUUGAUACAAAAAUAAAUCAAGUUCAGAAAGGGAUAGGAAAACUGAAGUUCCUCACUGAUUUACGAGGGUUUCCGGUUGGGGCGGGAAUUGAAAAUGCUGAUGUACAAGAUGGAUGGAAGUUGGAAGAGUUGUCAUCUUUGUCAUUGCUGAGGUAUCUUACGUUGGUUAAAUUGGAAAGAGCGGCUUGCUAUAGUACAAAUACAUUACUGACGAACAAAAACCAUCUAAAAGGACUAGUACUGGACUGGACAUCAUAUUCAGAAGAUGUUAGCACCGAGGAGGUCUUUGAGCAGCUAAUACCUCCAAGCAACCUGGAAACCCUACAUAUUAUUGGAUUCCUUGGUCGGCAAUACCCCAACUGGUUUGGUAACACUUGUUUGUCUUCGCUGGCACAUGUGACCCUUAGAAAUCUACGAUGUGUGGAUCUUCCACCUAUUGGCCAGCUACCCAACUUGAAAUUUCUAAGAAUUGAUGGAGCAUAUGCAGUUACCAAGGUUGGCCCUGAAUUUGUUGGUUGCGGGAAGGGUGAUCCCCUAUGCAACGAAUUAGUCGCUUUUCCUAAACUUGAAUGGUUAGUCCUCAAGCAUUUGCCCAACUGGGAGGAGUGGUCUUUUUUUGAAGAAAAAGAAGAAGCAGAAGAUGCUGAUGAUGAAGGGGGAGCAAAUGGAGUUGCUGAGAUUCAAAAGGAGGACGCCCAAUCUGCAAGGUCGCGUCUGUUUCCUCGUUUGGUGAGGUUGAAACUUGAAGGCUGCUUAAAGCUGAGGGCUCUACCGCGACAACUUGGAGAGGACACUGUCAGCUUGAGGAAGCUCGAAUUAAUUAGAACAAACAACUUGAAGGCCGUGGAGGACUUCCCACACCUCACUGAGCUCCUUCAUAUUGAGAAAUGUGAAGGCCUGGAGAAGGUCUCCAAUCUCCCUCAAGUGACAGACCUGCAAGUACGUGGUUGUCUGAACUUAAGCCGUGUAGAGGGGCUGGGCAGUUUGCAGCAGCUGGGGCUGGGCGAGGAUACGCAAGAGAUCUCUUCCCACUGGGUGCUUGGGCUUCAAAACCAGCACCAGCGACUUUAUGGCGAAGACCUGGAUGUCUACUCGUUGUCUACCAGUUAG
rnacentral:rRNA from 1 species